UUUCCGUAGGUGAACCUGCGGAAGGAUCAUUAGUGAAUUGAAUAUGUAGCGGACCUCUUCGGAGUCCCUAGCGUCAAAUCAUAUCCAUAACACCUGUGAACUGUAAGGCUGUCUUGAAAACGAAAGUGAUUAGAGCGCCUGCCCAUUUUAUACAAACAUUAAAGUAACAAACGUAGUCCUAUUAUAAUCUAAUAAAACUUUCAACAACGGAUCUCUUGGCUCUC
rnacentral:misc_RNA from 1 species